UGUCAUGUGGCUUACUGGUAGAGGUUUUGCCUACUAUGAAUGAGGCCCUGGGUUCAAUUCUCAGCAUCACAA
rnacentral:tRNA from 1 species